rnacentral:rRNA from 1 species
UACGGAGGGUGCGAGCGUGGUCCGGAAUCACUGGGCGUAAAGGGCGCGUAGGCGGCGCGGAAAGUCGUCGGUGAAAGCUCGGGGCUCAACCCUGAGUCUGCCGGUGAUACUCCCGCGCUCGAGCUCACUAGAGGCAGAUGGAAUUCCGGGUGUAGCGGUGGAAUGCGUAGAGAUCCGGAAGAACACCGGUGGCGAAGGCGGUCUGCUGGGGUGAGGCUGACGCUGAUGCGCGACAGCGUGGGGAGCAAACAGG